UACGUAGGGUGCGAGCGUUGUCCGGAAUUAUUGGGCGUAAAGAGCUCGUAGGCGGUGUGUCACGUCGUUCGUGAAAACCCGCAGCUUAACUGCGGGCCUGCGGUUGAUACGGGCGGGCUAGAGUUCGGUAGGGGAGACUGGAAUUCCUGGUGUAGCGGUGAAAUGCGCAGAUAUCAGGAGGAACACCGGUGGCGAAGGCGGGUCUCUGGGCCGAUACUGACGCUGAGGAGCGAAAGCGUGGGGAGCGAACAGG
rnacentral:rRNA from 1 species